UACGUAGGGUGCGAGCGUUAAUCGGAAUUACUGGGCGUAAAGCGUGCGCAGGCGGUUCGUUGUGUCGGCGGUGAAAGCCCCGGGCUUAACCUGGGAACGGCCGUUGAAACUGGCGAACUGGAGUGUGGCAGAGGGGAGUGGAAUUCCGCGUGUAGCAGUGAAAUGCGUAGAGAUGCGGAGGAACACCGAUGGCGAAGGCAGCCCCCUGGGCUAACACUGACGCUCAGGCACGAAAGCGUGGGGAGCAAACAGG
rnacentral:rRNA from 1 species